rnacentral:rRNA from 1 species
UACGUAGGGUGCGAGCGUUGUCCGGAAUUAUUGGGCGUAAAGAGCUCGUAGGCGGCCUGUCGCGUCUGCUGUGAAAACUCAGGGCUUAACCCUGAGCUUGCAGUGGGUACGGGCAGACUAGAGUGCGGUAGGGGAGACUGGAAUUCCUGGUGUAGCGGUGAAAUGCGCAGAUAUCAGGAGGAACACCGGUGGCGAAGGCGGGUCUCUGGGCCGUAACUGACGCUGAGGAGCGAAAGCAUGGGGAGCGAACAGG